rnacentral:rRNA from 1 species
CCUACGGGUGGCAGCAGUGGGGAAUAUUGCACAAUGGGGGAAACCCUGAUGCAGCGACGCCGCGUGGGUGAAGAAGUAUUUCGUUACGUAAACCUCUAUCAGCAGGGAAGAAAAUGACGGUACCUGACUAAUAAGCCCCGGCUAACUACGUGCCAGCAGCCGCGGUAAUACGUAGGGGGCAAGCGUUAUCCGGAUUUACUGGGUGUAAAGGGAGCGUAGACGGCAGCGCAAGUCUGGAGUGAAAUGCCGGGGCCCAACCCCGGAACUGCUUUGGAAACUGUGAAGCUGGAGUGCAGGAGAGGUAAGUGGAAUUCCUGGUGUAGGGGUGAAAUGCGUAGAGAUCAGGAGGAACACUGGCGGCGAAGGCGGCUUACUGGACUGUAACUGACGUUGAGGCUCGAAGGCGUGGGGAGCAAACAGGAUUAGAUACCCUUGUAGUC